AUGCUCCUAGCGCUCCUCCCAGUGCUGGGGAUACACUUUCUCCUGAGAGAUGCCCAAGCUCAGUCAGUGACUCAGCCUGAUGCUCCUGUCACUGUCUCUGAAGGAGCCUCUCUGCAGCUGAGAUGCAAGUAUUCCUACUCUGGGGUACCUUAUCUGUUCUGGUAUGUCCAGUACCCACGGCAGGGGCUGCAGCUGCUCCUCAAGUACUAUUCAGGUGACCCAGUGGUUCAAGGACUGAAUGGCUUCAAGGCUGAGUUCAGCAAGAGUGACUCUUCCUUCCACCUGCAGAAAGCCUCUGUGCACUGGAGCGACUCGGCUGUGUACUUCUGUGCUCUGAGCGCACAGUGUGUGGGGCUGCAGGGGGAGCUGAACACAAACACCCAUUUCAGGGGUUGCUCAGAGUCAUGA